rnacentral:rRNA from 1 species
ACUCCGUACGGGAGGCAGCAGGUGGGGAAGUAUUGCACAAUGGGCGCAAGCCUGAUGCAGCCAUGCCGCGUGUGUGAAGAAGGCCUUCGGGUUGUAAAGCACUUUCAGUCGUGAGGAAGGUAGUGUAGUUAAUAGCUGCAUUAUUUGACGUUAGCGACAGAAGAAGCACCGGCUAACUCCGUGCCAGCAGCCGCGGUAAUACGGAGGGUGCGAGCGUUAAUCGGAAUUACUGGGCGUAAAGCGCAUGCAGGUGGUUUGUUAAGUCAGAUGUGAAAGCCCGGGGCUCAACCUCGGAAUUGCAUUUGAAACUGGCAGACUAGAGUACUGUAGAGGGGGGUAGAAUUUCAGGUGUAGCGGUGAAAUGCGUAGAGAUCUGAAGGAAUACCGGUGGCGAAGGCGGCCCCCUGGACAGAUACUGACACUCAGAUGCGAAAGCGUGGGAGCAAACA